rnacentral:rRNA from 1 species
CUUUGCUGGCGACCGGCGCACGGGUGAGUAACACGUAUCCAACCUGCCCUUUACUCGGGGAUAGCCUUUCGAAAGAAAGAUUAAUACCCGAUAGCAUAAUGAUUCCGCAUGUUUCAUUAUUAAAGGAUUCCGGUAAAGGAUGGGGAUGCGUUCCAUUAGGUUGUUGGUGAGGUAACGGCUCACCAAGCCUUCGAUGGAUAGGGGUUCUGAGAGGAAGGUCCCCCACAUUGGAACUGAGACACGGUCCAA